ensembl:lncRNA
AGACACUGUAGAAAUUCUUCAUUUGAAGCUAAGCACUGGACACUUAAUAUAUUGACCUUGUUUGGUUUAACUUAAUACUUUAGACGAUGUGUUUAGAGUCAAGAAUAAACAUUUGGUUAAAGAGAGACUGACUCCCCAUAAUGAAACACUCAGUUUGCUGGAAAAGGGACAGAACUUCAUUUAGACAUCUGAUGAUGUGUUUAAUUCACAGGUUAGGUCUUUAGACAAGUAAGACUCCCUUGUGACUUUGUUUCAGGCAUCAUUCAGUGCUAAGGAAACACAAGGCAGCUGUAAGGCUACCAAAUAAGGUGGGAUUUCAGAUGGAGGAGCACAGAGAAGUGCCUUGCAACACUAAUAAGGUCAUGAGGAUUUUCUUUCAUAAGCAUAUUGUGUUCUUGGUAAGAGGAAGGAUAUCUACAUAUAGUCUUUGUUUCUCACAGACGCUUUCCCAAACUCUGAUAUCAACUACUUGUACACAACAGCAUGUGGUUCGUCUCAGGAAAGUUCUCAGCAGUUGAAAUGCAUCUCACCACUAACUCACACCAAUGACCAUAAACAGUAUAUGUCCUCAAUAUAUCAA